rnacentral:rRNA from 1 species
AACUGCGAAUACCGGAGAAUGUUAUCACGGGAGACACACGGCGGGUGCUAACGUCCGUCGUGAAGAGGGAAACAACCCAGACCGCCAGCUAAGGUCCCAAAGUCAUGGUUAAGUGGGAAACGAUGUGGGAAGGCCCAGACAGCCAGGAUGUUGGCUUAGAAGCAGCCAUCAUUUAAAGAAAGCGUAAUAGCUCACUGGUCGAGUCGGCCUGCGCGGAAGAUGUAACGGGGCUAAACCAUGCACCGAAGCUGCGGCAGCGACACUAUGUGUUGUUGGGUAGGGGAGCG